rnacentral:rRNA from 1 species
AUGACGAGCGGUCCAGUUCAUGUUAUGGUUCUGGAAAGCCCCGAUGCCAUUUCACGCUGGAGAAUUUUGAUAGGGCCAACUGAUGCAAGAAAGGCUAAAACUUCACACCCUGACAGCAUUAGAGCAAUGUGUGGCUUGGACUCUGAGAAAAAUUGUGUGCAUGGUUCAGAUUCACUGCAAUCUGCGGCCAGAGAGAUUUCAUUUUUCUUCGGAGAUGAUAAAUCUGAAGCCCUGGAACAUGAUGAGCUGUAG